AUUUCAAUAUUACAAAACCGUUUUGUUUAGGCUUCGGUUUUUGAGUUCUAAUUUUUUUUUCUCUUUUUGGUUUGAAAUUUUCGUAUUUAUGCAAAUUUUAAUCAAAAUCUGGUUGUGCUUUGACUAUUAAAUAAUACUUUUUAGUUACAAUUUAAAAAGCCAAAUUUAAUCUUGUGCCAUAACUUAAGGGGUUUUAGAUCAUAUAGCAAUAUAUCUAUUAGCAAACGCCAAAAAUGAGGAAGAAAGAUAAAACCCCCAAAAAAAACCGAAGAACAACAAAAACAGUGCACUAUGUGACCCAAAACAUUGAGACAUACUGUACCGUUAAAAUGUACAAGAUUAUGUCAAAAUACCAACAUUCAACAAAUUUACUAAUACCAAAGUUACCAUUCUCAAGACUGGUUAGGGAAAUUAUGCAGAAGGUGUCUCCGGGAGAUGAUUUUCGGUUGCAAACUAGCGCAUUAGAGGCUCUACAGCAAAGUGCAGAACAUUAUCUGACCCUACUUUUCAUGGAUGCCAACAGGUGUGCGGGACACGCUAAACGAGUGACGGUAAAACCAUUAGACGUCCAGAUGGUUUUAGACAUUCGUGGACCUACAGAUCCAGGUUUUGGUUAA